ACCAGGGAAGCCCUAUUCGUAUGUCUAUAUGCAUGUUUAUUCACACUUCUGCCUCUUCCAGCGUCCCGCGGCUCCUGCAAUCUCUGCUCCAUCUUCAGGGGUCCUUCUCCUCUCUGUGUCUCCGUCUCUGUCUCUCCUCUUAUAAAGACCCAGUCUUUGGAUUCAGGGCCCACCCUAAUCCCAUAUAACCUCACCUUAACUUAGUUGCAUCUGCAAAGACCCCAUUUCCAAAUAAGGCCACAUUCUGAGGCCCUGGUGGACAUGAAUUUGGGGGACACUCUCCCACGCAGCACACUAUGAAACCACAGUCCAUAUAAACGGCUUUGGAGGCAUGCUCCCUCAGCCACCGGCUCCCCACGCUGUGCUCCGGCCACGCGUCCCCGCAGGGUGUGGCCAGCAUUCCGGCUUCGUGUCCGAGGGCCUUUGCAUGGGCCGCUCCCUCUGCCCCCACGUUCCCGGGGCUCGUUCCUCACUGAAUUCUAAUAUCACCUUCCUGGUCAUCCAAAGCAAACCAGCCGUCCUGGGCAUCCUGAGCCCCACUGUGAGGCACUGGCCUCCGUGCAGCACACAAUGUGGCUGCGUGAGGCCACAUGUGCCUCUAGCCGGAUGGCGCCCCCAGGGCAGGGCUCUGUCUCUGCUCACAGCGGCACCCCACCGCCUGAGCAGCGCCGGGCGCGUGGCCUGUGUGGAGGGGCUGAGGGUCCCAGGCAGAGCCGGCAGCUGGCAGGGCCCCAGAGCAGGCGUCUCAGCACGCCCAGCAGCAGGAGGAUGGCUGAUUUAAUUGAAGCCCAGAGUCCCUGCAAUAAGCUAGGAAAUGUAUACCUGCAAUUUGUGGGCCGAGCUGAGCAGGCAGACGCCUCAGGCCUCGUUACGCCUCCCACGGGAGGAUUUACUGGGGCCAAAGGCGCUGCAGUCUGGAUUGGCUCCAGCCCGCCAGCUCGCUCUGGGUGGCUGGGCGGCAGGUUUAGGGGCGCCCGCCCAGCCCUGCCCAGCAGGCCUUGGGGGUCAGGACGAGCUCCCAGCCAGUCUGGGCGUUCUCUCCGGUCUGCUCCCCGGCCUGCGUGAGAAGGGGUUAAGGGAACAUCUGUCCAGCUACUCGGUUGUGCCAGUGUCAUCCAAGGGAUCAAGCAGGGGACACACCUGCAGCUGGCAGGGCAGGGCCGGACAAGGGCUCAGUCCACAGAGUAACCGGCGUCCCCAGAUGGACACGUCGGAGCCCCAUGUGAGGCCACAAGGCAGCUGCGAGGCCAGCGCCCAGCGUUCGGAAGGCUCUGUCCCCGUUCCUAGGCCCCGGGGGGACCAGAUACUCAGCCUUCUGCCACCCAGGGAAGAGUGCCAGCAGAGAGAGCUGUCAGCACAGAAGCCUGAGGAGGCCACCUGGCCAGGGCACAGGAAGGUGGGGGGCAAGGAGGCCGAGAGAGAGCAGGGUCCCCCAGGCCAUUUAUAAAGACUGGCUUUUAUUCAAGUGGGGGGACUGCUCAGAGAAGAGGGAGGGCGCUGAGCAGGGCAGGGUCUCGCCGGCCCAGGGCAGAGGGCAGGGAUGUGCCUGGGGGUCAGCCAGGGGGCGCCAGGAGGAACCUGAAGGGCUUGCUGCCCCCGGCCCUGCACCGGCGCUCCGACAGGUGACGCGGGGGAGGGGAGCCAUUAAUUUGGAAUAAAUAGGAGUGUGUGUGGUUUUACGGGUUACGGCUUGAUAAAUAAGACUCUGGGUCUGUAUGUGAGCAUGUGCGAACAUGUGUGCAUAUGUGCGGGAGUGUGUGGGCAUGUGUGUGAAUGAGUGUGUGAGCGUUGAAUGGUCGGUGUAGUGUGUGAAUGUGCUGCCUGACUGGGGUGGCCUAAGGUGACGUGUGUGACACACCCUUCCUGAAGUUCAGAACAAGAACAAUCGAACGCCCCACCGGGCUGUGGGGCGAGGCCGCCUGUGUGCCGGCAGCCGGUGGCGAAGACGGCCAGGGCGCCGCGGACCCCUGCACCCACGCCCCGUGACUUGUGACAGCCUUCCCAUCGAGGUGGUGGGGGGAGGUAUACUUCCCCUCCCCCGGAAACAGGGCUGGCCUGUGUCCCACCCAGAUGGUCAGACCAGGGAGUGUCAUCGCUCGAGCCCCGGACCCAGGCCUCAGGAGGCCCCCGCUUCCGGAGAGCCCCAGGGGAGGCUUCCGGGGAAGACAGAAGACCCGGGCCAGCCAGCCGAGGCGAGAGGCCACCACUCCACACCCCGCACGCCCCAGCAGAGCCCCGACAGACCUGGAGCAGCACGUGGAAAGGGCUUCCUUCCCAGCACAGCCGAGCAGCUGAGGCCGGGCCCUCUGGAGGCCAAGGGGGUGUGUGGGAAGCCCCGUGAGGAUAAGAAGGCCGACCACAAGCCUCCCGCUGCACGACCUUGCGGCCAGCGUAGCACAGCACUGGCGGGCGUCAGCACUCAUCUAAGGCCUUGUUACGGGUCGAGAGUUUGAAUGGCCUUCCAAGAGUGUGUGCCCAGCACCUGUGAGUGCGACCUCAUUUGGAAAAAAUCUUUCCAAUGUGAUCAAGUUAAAAUGAGGUCUUACUGCUGCACUGAAUCCCUGGAAGCAGACACGGCAGGGGAUGAAGGUUGCUAAUCUGCUGGCCUCAGAAUAAGAUGAUACUGGUGAUCAGGCAGGCCCAGCGCCACCACCGCGCCCCAUGGCGGCUGGUUCCAAGUGCAAACAUCAGUGUCACACAGCCCAGCACGUGGCCCGACGUUCACUGUGCUGUGUCAGCUAAGGCAGUCACGAUGGCCAGCCCGGUUCCAGGGCAGGGAGCAGCCCCACCAGGACCAGCGGAGGGCACACAAGUGGGAGAUGCUAUGCCGGCAUCUUUAGAGACUCGCCUGCUACACGUGAAUCAAAUCACUGUAAUCCUCACACCCCCAUCUGAGGCAGACGUGUGUUCCUGGUGAGCAACCGGGGGAGCAGCGCAGUCAGUAUUAUAUGCUCAGAAAUGAAGUCUAAGAUGGAGCAAGAUGAAAGUCGGGGUCACCCUCCGCCACCCCCGUCUCUCGUCCCGUCCCCGAGAGGCCCUAACAGAGCUGGCUCUAGACUUACAGUUAAGGCAGCCUCCGCCUGGCGCCGCCCGUGUCACGCCUGCAUCUACGAAUUCGUUUAUUCCUGGGCUCCUGUUCUCCUGAGUUCCAGCUCUCUCACUUACCAUUCGGUGGCCCCCAGAGACCAUCAGAUGAGAAAGGGAGGGCACACAGAGAGGUGGAGGUGACGUGAUGACGCAGGCAGAGACGGGGCAACGCAGCCACCAGCCCAGGACAAGGAUGCUGGCAACUCCAGGAGCCGGAGGAGGCCCGGCCAGAUUCGCCUUGGAACCCGCAGGAGGGAGGGCCCAGCCCUGCAACCCCUGAUCCCAGAGCUCUGGCCUCCCGGCUGUGACAGGAUAAAGUCUGUUGGAUGCGGCCCCCAGUUUGUGGUUACUUGUUGCAGCUGCCCAAGGCGACCAGCCAGCUGGAUGGCGGGUGAGAGCUGGUGGAGAGCAGGCACAGUAAAUGGUGCAGCCGCGUCUGGACGAUGGGCUGUGGGUCUGCACUGGAACGUUCUUUCGGCUUCCCCGUGUGUUUGAAAAUUUUUCAUGACAAGUGUUGGAGAAGAAAUGAAAUGUUAGCAAAAUAGAAACCUGUCUCUCCCCACCACCGCUUAACAAAAUCUGAACAGAUGUUUAAAGACCAGCAGUGUGAAGGGCAGCUGAACUCUGGCCAGCGGGUCCAGGCCACCCGGAUGUCCCCGUGCUACCUGCACAGAGGCCUUCCCCUCCCCGCUCCACCUCAGCCUGGCCUCCCACUCCUGCACCCCAGCCUGCCUGACCUCCAUCGGGUCACCCGUCCCGGUGAGGCCUUAGCAGGAGGACCCUAUUUCUCGCCAACGUGUGAGGCUAGACAUUCUAGGGACGGAGGGCAGGGCCACGUCCUGCUCUGCCCAUGGCGGCCACCCCGAGAGCCCUGGAGCAGGACAACCCCUUGGGAGCAGGGCCCCUCUGUGCCUGGCUCUGCCUGCCGCCAGUGCCCAGAACAGGGCCCGACCCACAGGCCACAGUCAGCACUCGCCCAUUCAAGUGACGAGUGAACGAGAGCAUUAGCCAGCACCCCGCAGUUGCCUCUGUCCUGGGGACGCCGUGGUGGACACGAGGGCGCUCACAGCCGUUUAGGUGAGUCCCUGUCUCGGGCAGAGGAAAUAGCUCUUAGCUCUUUUCAUGUCAUAGCUGUUGUUAUUCAAGCAGAAUAAAUAUGACCAGCCACCAGGGGGAGGCUGGCCUCCUGCCUGCCGCCCCAAGGAGCCGGUGGGCCUCCCCCAAGAGCGGCUCUGGUCCUGUCCCCUCCCCUUUGUGAUCCGGCCUGGAAGCAGGACACAAGCCUCUGUUUGGACCUCAGCACCACAACCUCUUGCUGAGAAUCUCAGGCAAGUCGCUUUGCCUCUCCGGCCCCCAUGUUCGUCGUGAAAUGGGUACAGCGCCAGCAGCCUCGGAGGCGGCCUGAGAGCCAGGGCCGUAGUGCAGGUAAAGUACCGUAGACAGCCUGCAGCUGAGCAGCGUUGCUGUUGCAGGUGCUUGGAUGGCCACCUGGCGUUAGACGUUUUCUCCUGGAACAAAGUCCAUGUUGGGGUGAAGGAGGGGAAAUCCCUGUCGAGAGACAGGCCACGCCCACACAGACAGAUCCAGGUCCUAUUCCCGGGCCCUGGGUAAGUAAGCAAGAUGCCUGGGAGGGGCCUGCACCCCGGAGAGGAAAAGGGCGGGAGGAAGGUUGGGCAGAGGAAGUCCAGCUGGGUGCAGGUCAGAGACGGGAGUGAUGGGGCCACAAGCCCAGGGACACCUGGGGCCCCCAGAAGCUGGAAGAGGCAGGAAGACCCUCCCCUGAGCCUCUGGAAGGAGCGUGGCCCUGCACACACCUUGACUUCAGGCUUCGGGCUUCCAGAACGGUAAGAGAACGCAUUCCUGUUGUUUCUGGCUUGUGGUGCUUCGUUGCAGCAGCCCCAGGAAGCAAGCACGACACCCCAAGCCUGCCCCUCACACAGCGUCCCCCCGUUGAGAGACGACUGCUCCUUCCUGGUUUCCUAGGUCGAUAGGAGGACCUUGGCGCCUUCCCAAUUCCUGUCCUCCCGGCCACGUCCAGCGCGUUGGCGCGUGCUGGCGCGUCACCGGCAGCUGGGUGCCGGCGCGCACAGUGGGCCAGGGACAUGGGCUCGGAGCAAGGGCAUCCGACCAGGACGAGAAGGACUCGUAUCCAGACGCACGUCCCCAGCCCCGCCUCUGCUGCCUAGGUUUGCAGUGGCUUUAGCCGGCCUCCUGCUUGUAUCCAUUCAUUCAUUCAUUCUAGGAAUGGGCUCACGUGAUUAUGGAGGCUAGGGAGUCCCACAACCUGCCGCCUGCAAGCCGGCGGCUCAGGACAGCCGGUGGGGUAGAUCGGCCCGCGUUCUAAGGCCUGAGAACCAGAGGAGCCGACGGGGUGAAGCCCGGUCCGAGGGCAGGAGGAGGUGAGACGAGGUGUCCCUGAUCGCCAGGGAGGCGGGAAGAAGGGGGGCGUCCUCCUGCCUGCACCUUGGGCGCUACUCAGGCCCUUCUGGACUGGAGAGGCCCGACGCCGGCGAGGCCUCUGCGGCAGGGGCCCGCGGCCAGGCGAGCUGACACACGAGGCGCUGUCUCCGCCUCUCCUACCUCCCGGGUCUCACGCCCUCCCCGGUGCCCGUUUGGCUCAGAGGCCGCGUCACAGCAGCGAUAGGUGACGGGCCUGCGCACACGCCCCACUGCUCCCCGCCGGGCAGCCUGCUCGCCCCCGCUGACCUUCCCCGGGCAUCACGUGGCUCGCUCCCUCACCUCCUCCAGAUAAGGCACCUGCUCAGCCGGCCCUGCUCUGCCCUUUGAGUACCCUCGUUCCCUACCGUCUUCCUAAUGUAUUUUUCCGUGUGACACUGGACAGGACACACAGCAGCCCGGCUGCGUCCCAAGCCCGGAACACCAGCACACAGUGGGCACCCAAGCCGUGCCACCCGAGGGAGUGGCAGCUGGAGCCCAAGGCACAGCGCUGGGGCAGCGUGGAAGCCCCACACCGUGUGGCCACUUAGUGUGCCCCCUGCCCCCGCCCUGGCCCAGGGCACAGUGACGGGACCCAGAUGGCACUGUUGGCAGUUGUAGCCGUGAGGCUCUGCCUCAUGGAAGGACCUUGUGUGGCAGGUAGCACGUUCUGACCCUGCCUCGGGGAUUCUCAGUCUGCUGCAGCCAGAGACACUUUGCAGCGGGUGUAGAGCUAACCCGCCCCCCCCAAGUUGAGGGCUGGCCUUUGUCCAGCUCCAGGAGGGACCCGAGGCCCCGGGCGUCCUGAUGGGAGCGCCGUCUGCGGGGCCGCGGCCCGUCAGAGUCCCCGAUGGGGGUCACGGCGGGGCUUUGGGCUGAGUGGCAUCCGCUCCCCCUCCGGAGGGGCUGGACACUGGGGGCAGCCACGUGGGUCCCACAGCCCCGGUAAAAACGGGACGCCGAGGCGGGGAGCCCCCGGCUGGCAGCACCCCGUGCGUGUGCUGUCGCACGUCAGGGCCCACGGGGAAGACACCGGACGCUCGUGGUCGGGGAUCUCCGGGGUCUGUCCUGCGCCCUUCCCUUGGCCGGGGUACUUCACGCCCCCUCCCUGCAGUGAACCAGGACCGUGAGCACAGAGCCCUGAGGGGGCUCGGGUAGUCCUCCCAGGGGGUUGUCCAACCCGAGGGGAUCUCAGGGGCCUUGGACUCGUAGUCGGUGUCAGAAGCAGGGCUCUUGUGUGCACUAGGCUCCUCCUAACUUUGAGGGUGGCUAACGCUCACACGAUGGCCAGCAGAACUGCUUCCAAAACUCACACGGGGCACCUUCUGUGCUCUGUCUCGCUGCGUCCCAGUAACGAGAAGAGAGCCUGACACAGAGCGGGGGCUUAAUCAAUACCGGCUGGAAUCAGUCAAUUGCCCGGUUUGAUGUGAGGGUCGGGGAGAAGCAGGGGUGCCUUCCAGAUUCCAGGAGCGCUGUCUGGGCCUGAGGACCCAGGCACUGGGUCACCGUGACAGAGAGAAAGGCCAGGGGGCGGGUUGACCCCUCUGCUAGCACCUGACCCCUUGCUGCUUCCCAGGGAAAGCGUUGGCCCCGUGAGACUCGGAGAUGACCUUCCGUCGCAUCUAUGUGGGCAGCGGGUCCUCCCAGGCUGCAGGGGCUUCCUGCUCCGAGGGCUCCGUCCCGGCCCUGGGAGCGCCAGGUGGCCUCUGGUGAGCCGAGGGUCCCUCAGUGCACGGUCUCACCUUGACCCCGGCCGCAGUUCACUCCCAGGUCACAUAGGCUGAGCUCACUGGGAGCUGCGCCGUCGUCCACUCGUACUCACAGCCUCUGCCCCUCACCCAGUGGUGGCCGCGCGUUCACGCGCUCUCCCCACUGCCACAGCAGGGUCCGCUCUCAGGCCUUCACCCAGGCCUCUAUUUGACGCCCCCCCCCCCAGCCCCUGGCCUCCUUUUUAACUGUGACCUAAGCCCCCUGGGCCCUGUCUUUGCCAGCCCUCACCACCGACUGUCACCCAUCUGACUCACUUAUUGUGUCUCACUGGGGUGAGGAUUGGGGCCUGACUGCAAGCAGCGCUCAAGAGCAGGGCCAGCCGGCUGCCUGGGGCGCCUGCCGACUCCUCGACCCCUUGGCCCCCAUGAGACCCGCAUCGGGCUCCUGGCCUCCAGACCGAGGGAGUGCCUCUGGCGUGGCCCUCCCUCCGGCAGCCGGGAAACCGCACGCCCGGUGACAGUUGUGAGAGCACAUUCAUCCCACGGGCUUUGCCAAAAUCAAUCUGUUUGAACAACCCUCUGACAGAGCCCUGGGGUGGGGGGACAGACGGAAGCAGCUGUCACCAACAGCUGGUGGGUGCCAGGAGCCUCCCGCAGGGCCUCCCUGCAGGCCCAGAAUGGCCCUGGGCUGUCCCCACCCUCUGGCUACAUCCCUGCUUCUACUCGCUGCUUGUGGUCGCCUGGAGGCUGUGGGGUGGAGAAGGAUUGCAUGUGUUAGAUGAGUAACGCGGCUGAUUAAAUUUGCUGGGCAGGCUCAUGGCACACCACGCCGUCUCUCCCUGGGGGGCAGAGCAUCUGUUUGAGGUCGUUGAAAAGACGGUGAUUGAGACAUCCUGAGGACUAGAUCCUGCCAUGAGCGCACAGCCCCCAAGGACAAAAUCCUGGCCCCAUCACUCAGGCUCCAGACCCCCCGAGGGGGGCGGGGAAAUAAAGCCCAGGAACACAAACAGGCGUCUAGCAGCUCCCGGGUACUGAGAAUGGGGGCAGGUCACCAUCUGUGCCUUUCCUGGAAUUUCCCUGCCCCACACUUCCCCAUCCUGCUGUGGACCCGGACAGGGCAAGUCAGGGGCUCCCUGCCCUCCGGCCACCACUGAGUCCAGCCCAGGGAGCGUCCACAGGAAAGCAGGGUCAGGGGCAAGAGAGGGAGGCCCCCUGGAUGCCGCCCUUGACCUAUCUGGACCACAGCCCCUGCGGGCACCCUGCCCACGUAGGGUCCCCUCCUCUCUCCCUCCCCGUGUGUCUGUCUCACUCCCUCGGUUCCCAUGUCCCCUCCCCUCCGCCCUUCAGCCCCAGGUGGGACAGCUCCUCCUGUGCCAGCCCCACCUGUGGAUGCCCACGCCCCAAACACACCUGUGUCCCUUUGCAACACGGCAACUGUACUUCCUGUGAAAAAAAAAAAAUGUUUGGUAGUUGCCCUAGAGUCUGCGAUGUACAUUCACAACCAAUCCAAGUCCACUUCCAAUAACACUGCCGGGCUCCACAGGCAUGUCCACACCUUCCUGGAACACUGCUCUGUUCACAUCCCCAUAAGCUAUAACCCCCCGAUACAUUGUGCUGGGAUCAUUCUGAAGAAACUGUUACGUGUUAGGACAACUAGAAUAAGAAAAAGAGAAGAUUUUAUUGUGCCUUCAUUUAUUCCUUCUCCAGCUCUCUUCUCUUCUGCAGACCUGAGCUCUGGCCUAAAUCAUUCUCCGUCUGCCUGAAGGCCGUCGUCCACCAUUUCUUUCGAGGCAGGUUCCUGGCGCCUGUUUCUUUUCUAUACCUUCCUCAGAGGGCCCAGGUGGAGGGUGCCUGACUCAUUCCAUUUCAUUUAAACCUACGAUUUUCAACAACCCUACGACAUGGGCAUGAUUUUGCGUGUCCUACAGGUGAGGAAACUGAGGCCCAGAUUGCUGUGUGCACAGCGUUGGAGGUCAUUCACCCACGCAAUGACUUCAGAGCCAGGCUCCGAACCACUGCACCUGCACCCAGGAGACUCUGCGGGAUGGGUGAGAGAUGAGCUUCAGUUGGCCCAGCCCUGCCUGGCCCUCCUGGGAGCCCCCGGCCUCCUUCCACCUCCUGCCAGCCGUGUCGCUAACGCCGCUGUGGGCCACACCCUCAAGCCUGGCUUCUUCCCUCAUCAGGACGCAGGACGCGGCCUCACGUCCUCUGAGAGGCUCGUGAAGCGCCUGCCCAGCUGCCAGCUGGCCCAGUUGUUGCCAUGGAAAAGCCCAGAGCGUGUGGGCCGCCUGGCAGCCCGACACCCGCUCCCCUGGGACCCCCCGGCCAGGCUGCUGGCCCAGUGCCCAGAGCACACAUGUGGCUGGGGACCUGCUCCCAGCGGGCCUCACUGAGGACAGCCAGAGGCCUUCCCUGGGAGGGACAGGCGAUGCUGGGCCCCUCUGCAUCCGUCAGGGCCAGGGGGGCCCCACUGCGGGCGACAGGGCUCUCUCUGCCUGCCCACCUCCCUCCCCCUUUUUGCUAAUGGCACGCCAGCCUGCUUUGAGGAGCAGCCUCCUCCUGUGAGUACAGACUCAGGGGCCCCACCCUCACCUUGGUCAAACCCAGGUCUGGCCAGUCAGCAGGUGUCACUCCCCUACCUCUGUCUGUGUCACACAGGUUGGUCCAGGUCUGGGCAGGUAACCUUAGUCAAACCAGUGAUACUCCUGGAUACGUGCAAACGCCUAGCAAAGGCAAAUGGCUGAGCACAGAGCCAGGGAGACUCAGAUGUGUCGGCCUGGGUUGACCUCUGGUUCAAGCCAUACCUGAAACCAGUAUCCCUGGCAUCUCCCAUUGCCUGAGGUAGCACAGCUCCAUUUUUAUUCAUGCCUGACUGGGUUGGGUUUUUGUCACUUUGGGGAGAGCCCUCACUAACACUCUUUGGGUCCUAAGAAGAUCCCUCCAGGUAGGCUGUGUCCUGUGUGCCUUUACACAAACCACCCCCCGGGAGCUUUGGUCUCUGUGUCGUGGGGACUGGGUGCUACAAUGGCUCUCACUGUGAGAGCAUCCUCCACUCUGUGUCAUCAGGAGGACGUCAAAAGAAUCUCCUUGUGACGUCAGCCUUUCCCAUCUUCAGAAAAAUGUCAGGGCGCCCAGGGAAGCAAGAAGGGCCGAGCGUUGUCUCUUUAACAGAGGUUUGAGCUGCCUGCCUCACCGCAGCAAGAAGAGACUUGUCUGUGCACAGCCAGCCAGGAGGUUCUUUCUUGUUUCCACCCUUGUGUUCCAACUUGUGCCCAGCUCUUUGCCCUGGGACUCAUUCCUUGCCCAUUCCUGACCCGGCAGGUGGAGCCUCCCAGGCUGGCUUCUGCCUGGGCUCAGCCAGAAGGAGCCUUCGGUGGGAGACUGUGUGUCCAUCACCCUGGAUAGGAGCCCGUGGCCCUCAGUACUUCCUGCAAGACCUGGUGUGGGUGUUCCAAGUGGGGCUUGAGAGACUGGGAAGGAGUCACUCCACAUCCAACUCUGCCUUCUUGGAGGAAAAUUCCACAACUUACCCCAACUGUGAGCAAGUCCCCAUGUCUCCCCAGCACAUCACAUCUAUGAGUAGUGACACUGCAAAGAGUGAGACUGAAGCCAAUAUAUUGGUCCUUCAGCAAAGCCGUGAUAUUUCCAACGUGCCCCCCUGACUCUCCCCAUGCAGGCAAAGCACUGUUGCCUGACAUCUGGGCUGGAGACCCCAGUGCCAGAGAAGUCUUCCCUGCGUCCCUCACCACUAUCACCACCUCCGCCUCCACUUUCACUCUCAGGAUGUUGAUGAUGGGGGUGGAGACAAUGAGGAGGAGGAAGAUGGUGAAACAGUUGAUGAAGAAAGCGAUGGUCGUAAUGAUGGAGGUGAGGGUGGUGAUGAUGGAGGUGAGGGUAGUGAUGAAGAAGGUGAU